rnacentral:rRNA from 1 species
GAUGAACGCUGACAGAAUGCUUAACACAUGCAAGUAAACUGUGGCGGAAGGGUGAGUAACGCGUAAAGAACUUGCCUCACAGCUAGGGACAACAUUUGGAAAAGAAUGCUAAUAACUGAUACUGUGAGAGAGAUUUGCGUCCCAUUAGCUAGUUGGAGAGGUAGAGGCUCACAAAGACGAUGAUGGGUAGCAGGCCUGGGAGGGUGAUCGGUCACAAGGGGAUUGGUACCCGGCCCGUACUCCUACGGGAGGCAGGAGUGGGGAAUAUUGGACGAUGGACCAAAGUCUGAUCCAGCAAUUCUGUGUGCACGAUUAAGUUUUCGGAAUGUAAAUUGCUUUCAGUUGGGAAGCGGUACCAAAAGAAGAAGUGACGGCUAAAUACGUGCCAGCAGCCGCGGUAAUAC